rnacentral:tRNA from 1 species
UCUUUGGUGGUCCAGUGGUUAAGACACUGCACUUCCACUGCAGGGAGCACAGGUUCAGUCUCUGGUUGGGGAA